AGUAAAAGUCGUAACAAGGUUUCCGUAGGUGAACCUGCGGAAGGAUCAUUACCGAGUGUAGGGUUCCUAGCGAGCCCAACCUCCCACCCGUGUUUACUGUACCUUAGUUGCUUCGGCGGGCCCGCCAUUCAUGGCCGCCGGGGGCUCUCAGCCCCGGGCCCGCGCCCGCCGGAGACACCACGAACUCUGUCUGAUCUAGUGAAGUCUGAGUUGAUUGUAUCGCAAUCAGUUAAAACUUUCAACAAUGGAUCUCUUGGUUCCGGCAUCGAUGAAGAACGCAGCGAAAUGCGAUAACUAGUGUGAAUUGCAGAAUUCCGUGAAUCAUCGAGUCUUUGAACGCACAUUGCGCCCCCUGGUAUUCCGGGGGGCAUGCCUGUCCGAGCGUCAUUGCUGCCCAUCAAGCACGGCUUGUGUGUUGGGUCGUCGUCCCCUCUCCGGGGGGGACGGGCCCCAAAGGCAGCGGCGGCACCGCGUCCGAUCCUCGAGCGUAUGGGGCUUUGUCACCCGCUCUGUAGGCCCGGCCGGCGCUUGCCGAACGCAAAUCAAUCUUUUUCCAGGUUGACCUCGAUCA
rnacentral:rRNA from 1 species